rnacentral:misc_RNA from 1 species
GUAGGUGACCCUGCGGAAGGGUCAUUACAGAGUAUCAUGCCCUCACGGGCAGAUCUCCACCCUUGAAUAACAUACCUUUGUUGCUUUGGCAGGACGCACUCGUGCCAGGGGCUUCGGCUCCUGAGUGCCUGCCAGAGGACCACAACUCUUGUUUUUAGUGAUGUCUGAGUACUAUAUAACAGUUAAAACUUUCAACAACGGAUCUCUUGGUUCUG